rnacentral:rRNA from 1 species
GGGGGGGGGGGGGGGGGUGGCGGAGGGGUGCGGGUCGGGCGGGGCCUUCGGGUCUGGUGGCGCACGGGUGCGUAGCGCGUGGGAACCUGCCCUUAGGCUCGGAAUAACUCCCCGGAAGGGGUGCUAAUACCGGAUAAUGUCUUCGGACCACAGAUUUAUCGCCUUUGGAUGGGCCCGCGUUGGAUUAGCUAGUUGGUAGGGUAAAAGCCUACCAAGGCGACGAUCCAUAGCUGGUCUGAGAGGAUGAUCAGCCACACUGGGACUGAGACACGGCCCAGACUCCUACGGGAGGCAGCAGUGGGGAAUAUUGGACAAGGGGCGAAAGCCUGAUCCAGCAAUGCCGCGUGAGUGAUGAAGGCCUUAGGGUUGUAAAGCUCUUUUACCCGGGAUGAUAAUGACAGUACCGGGAGAAUAAGCUCCGGCUAACUCCGUG